rnacentral:rRNA from 1 species
UACGUAGGGUGCGAGCGUUGUCCGGAAUUAUUGGGCGUAAAGGGCUCGUAGGCGGUUUGUCGCGUCGGGAGUGAAAUCCACUGGCUUAACUGGUGGCUUGCUUCGAUACGGGCAGACUGGAGGUAUGCAGGGGAGAACGGAAUUCCUGGUGUAGCGUGAAAUGCGCAGAUAUCAGGAGGAACACCGGUGGCGAAGGCGGUUCUCUGGGCAUGUCCUGACGCUGAGGAGCGAAAGUGUGGGGAGCGAACAGG